GGAAUAUUGGACAAUGGGCGCAAGCCUGAUCCAGCCAUGCCGCGUGAGUGCUGAAGGCCCUAGGGUUGUAAAGCUCUUUCACCGGUGAAGAUAAUGACGGUAACCGGAGAAGAAGCCCCGGCUAACUUCGUGCCAGAAGCCGCGGUAAUACGAAGGGGGCUAGCGUUGUUCGAAAUUACUGGGCGUAAAGCGCACGUAGGCGGACAUUUAAGUCAGGGGGGAAAUCCCGGGGCUCAACCCCGGAACUGCCUGUGAUACUGGGUGUCUAGAGUCCGGAAGAGGUGAGUGGAAUUCCGAGUGUAGAGGUGAAAUUCGUAGAUAUUCGGAGGAACACCAGUGGCGAAGGCGGCUCACUGGUCCGGUACUGACGCUGAGGUGCGAAAGCGUGGGGAGCAAAC
rnacentral:rRNA from 1 species